UACGUAGGGCGCGAGCGUUGUCCGGAAUUAUUGGGCGUAAAGAGCUCGUAGGCGGCCUGUUGCGUCCGCUGUGAAAUCCCGGGGCUCAACCUCGGAACUGCCUUUGAUACUGCGAAUCUUGAGUCCGAUAGAGGUGGGUGGAAUUCCUAGUGUAGAGGUGAAAUUCGUAGAUAUUCGCAAGAACACCAGUGGCGAAGGCGGCUCACUGGCCCGGUACUGACGCUGAGGUGCGAAAGCGUGGGGAGCAAACAGG
rnacentral:rRNA from 1 species